CCUACGGGAGGCAGCAGUGAGGAAUAUUGGUCAAUGGACGAGAGUCUGAACCAGCCAAGUAGCGUGAAGGAUGACUGCCCUAUGGGUUGUAAACUUCUUUUAUAAAGGAAUAAAACGAGGCACGUGUGCCUUUUUGCAUGUACUUUAUGAAUAAGGAUCGGCUAACUCCGUGCCAGCAGCCGCGGUAAUACGGAGGAUCCGAGCGUUAUCCGGAUUUAUUGGGUUUAAAGGGGGCGUAGAUGGGUUGUUAAGUCAGUUGUGAAAGUUUGCGGCUCAACCGUAAAAUUGCAAUUGAUACUGGAAGUCUUGAGUACAGUUGAGGUAAGCGGAAUUCGUGGUGUAGCGGUGAAAUGCUUAGAUAUCACGAAGAACCCCGAUUGCGAAGGCAGCUUACUAAACUGUGACUGACAUUGAUGCUCGAAAGUGUGGGUAUCAAACAGGAUUAGAUACCCGUGUAGUC
rnacentral:rRNA from 1 species